UACGUAGGGUGCGAGCGUUAAUCGGAAUUACUGGGCGUAAAGUGUGCGCAGGCGGCCGCGCAAGUCGAGUGUGAAAGCCCCGGGCUUAACUUGGGAAUUGCGCUCGAAACUACGUGGCUGGAGUGUGGCAGAGGAAGGUGGAAUUCCACGUGUAGCAGUGAAAUGCGUAGAGAUGUGGAGGAAUACCGAUGGCGAAGGCAGCCUCCUGGGCCAACACUGACGCUCAUGCACGAAAGCGUGGGGAGCAAACAGG
rnacentral:rRNA from 1 species